CCCUUAGAUGUUCUGGGCCGCACGCGCGCUACACUGACGAUGGCAACGAGUUUUUCCUUCGCCGAAAGGUGUGGGUAAUCUUUUGAAACAUCGUCGUGCUGGGGAUAGAUCAUUGCAAUUUUUGAUCUUGAACGAGGAAUUCCUAGUAAGCGCGAGUCAUCAGCUCGCGUUGACUACGUCCCUGCCCUUUGUACACACCGCCCGUCGCUACUACCGAUUGAAUGGUUUAGUGAGGACUCCUGAUUGGCGCCGCCGCCCCGGCAACGGAGCAGCGGACUGCCGAAAAGUUGUUCAAACUUGAUCAUUUAGAGGAAGUAAAAGUCGUAACA
rnacentral:rRNA from 1 species